rnacentral:rRNA from 1 species
AGGAAUCUUGGUCAAUGGGCGCAAGCCUGAACCAGCGACGCCGCGUGGAGGACGAAGGCCUUCGGGUUGUAAACUCCUUUUACGUGGGAAGAAGAUCUGACGGUACCACGUGAAUAAGCCACGGCUAACUACGUGCCAGCAGCCGCGGUAAUACGUAGGUGGCAAGCGUUGUCCGGAUUUACUGGGCGUAAAGCGCGCGCAGGUGGUUCGUUAAGUCCGAAGUGAAAGCUCCCGGCUCAACUGGGAGAGGUCUUUGGAUACUGGCGGACUCGAGGGAGGCAGAGGAAGGUGGAAUUCCCGGUGUAGUGGUGAAAUGCGUAGAGAUCGGGAGGAACACCAGUGGCGAAGGCGGCCUUCUGGGCCUUUCCUGACGCUGAGGCGCGAAAGCGUGGGGAGCGAAC